UAAGCCUAUGUCUUACACACACUAUAAAAGUUUCUGAAUGUCAUUAUCGUUGGUCUUGACUGACCGAUAAAACCAUAUACAACUUUCAGCAACGGAUCUCUUGGCUCUCGCAUCGAUGAAGAACGCAGCGAAAUGCGAUAAGUAAUGUGAAUUGCAGAAUUCAGUGAAUCAUCGAAUCUUUGAACGCACCUUGCGCCCUUUGGUAUUCCGAAGGGCAUGCCUGUUUGAGUGUCAUUACAACCCUCAAGCUCUGCUUGGUAUUGGGUGUCACCCCCGGGUGCGCCUUAAAAUCAGUGGCGGUGCCGUCUGGCUUCAAGCGUAGUAAUACUUCUCGCUUUGGAGUCCGGGUGAGCGUCUUGCCAAAACCCCCAUAUUUUUUCAGGUUGACCUCGGAUCAGGUAGGGAUACCCGCUGAACUUAAGCAUAUCAAUAAGCGGAGGA
rnacentral:rRNA from 1 species